AUGGUCAAAGGAGAGCCUUAGAAGCCAAGAGGCAAAAUGUCAUCAUAUGCAUUCUUCAUGAAAUCUUGCCAAGAACAGCACAAGAAGCAGCACUCAGAUGUUUCCGUCAACUUCUCAGAAUUUUCUAAGAAAUGCUUAGAGAGGUGAAAGACCAUGGGUUCAAAACAGAAAGGGAAAUCUGAAGAUAGGGCAAAGGCAGACAAGGUCAGUUUAUGAAAGAGAAAUGAAAACAAAUAUCCCUCCUGCAGGGGAAACAAAAAAGAAAUCAAGGAUCCCAGUGCACCCAAUAGGCCUCCUUUGGCCUUAUUGUUCUCUUAUGAUUGUCACCCCCAAAUCAAAGAACAUCCUGGCCUAUGUGUAGGUGAUGUUGCAAAGAAACUGGCAGAGGUGGAAUAACACUGCUGCAGAUGACAAGAAGCUUUAUGAAAAGAAGGCUGCAAAGCUGAAGGAAAAUUACAAAGAGGAUAUUGCUGUAUACUAAUCUAAAGGAAAGCCUGAUGCAACAAAAACGGGAGUUAUUAAGGCUGAAAAAAGCCAGAAAAAGAAGGAAGAGGAGGAAAAUGAAAAUAAAAAAGAAGAUGAUGAUGAA
rnacentral:lncRNA from 1 species